CUCAGAACAAGUAAAUUUACACAACAACUGCAUGUUUUAAUAUUUUGUACAUGGAUUAUGUGAAAUUUGACGGGUGUGACGUUAAAUGUCCUCUAAAUCUGGAAUGACCCAACGAGUAGCAGGGGGGAGUCUUCUGCUCCCAAACUGCAGGGGGCAGUAUACCGGAAACACACGUCUAACACAGUACCGACUGGAGUAGAACAAGUUUGCCUUUGUUUAGACCGGUUCCAACAUGGCUACACUCGCUCGUCUGCGUGAAGAAGAGGAACUUCUUUGCCUUUUAUUACUGCUAAGACAAAAUAAUAAGAGAGGGUGGUCGACUCGUCCUUUACGCCGCAGGAGGCGAGAUGAUGAUGAGGAGAAUUUGAGGCCGAUGCGUGGGACGGACAAGCACGGGGAAACAGACUCAAAUCUCCCCGAGGUUGAGGGUGUUUUGGAGGAGUCGCAAAUGGACGUCACCCAGUCUACCAACUUACGCUCAACUUCACCAGAUUUGGGCUCAAUCUGCCCCUCGGCCCUGGAGAAUAGCGUUGGACCAGCGGUGGAACAGACGUCUCCUGCUUACAGUGGUGGGAAAAGGAAGGCCUCAAGAAGUGUGGGGUCAGGACCAGAUGUGAAGAGGAGGAUUGAAGAUAUGGAUUUGAAGAGACUUGAAAACAUAGGUGAAGAGAAAGCCACCCAUAAGGGCACUGAAAGCGCAAGAUUUGGCCGUGUUGUUGCUGACAUGCUGGAAAAGAUCCCAGAUCAUAAAAGGGAAGCAGUAAAAUUUAAACUUUACACGCUGCUUUAUGAGGCUCUCCACCCAAACGUAUCGUAGUUAACGACAAUCAAACAGAUAGAGAAGUUAUUUUUACAUCCUUUUUAAAAAUAUUUUACUUUCUGUCACAGUUUUUGACAAAAAAGAAUGUUACUUGCAUUAAAAAAAAACGGUGUUCAAUUUCAAAUUCAAUGCAGUCCUGUAUUUUCUUUACCCUUCUUCAGCAUACUUUUUCUAAGCACAUUCUCCUGCCAGGGUACAAGUCUCUGUGGUGUGAGAAUGAUUUAAAGUCAUUUUGAGCUGAGAUUGCAGCAUGAGUUGCUUGUGCUUUGCUGACACGGCCAGUGUCCAACAAGUUGUUUACGCCUGCUCCCAUUCCCCGUUUUUUUCAAAAACAUUUGAAAUAUAGUAUAAAAGCCACACGUGUUCUUUCAUGCUGAUUCCGCACGUCUUUCAUGGGGAAAGCAUAAUCCAUGCUUAACUCUAGCAUGUCUAUAGUGCCCCUGGUUUUAGCCAUGUUCCAAACGGGCUGUUCCAGGGUCUGUAGUUUCAAUUCCAGGAGCCAGCUUGGGUUGAUUCUUCUCCUGCAGUGACGUCACAACAGGCUACAGACCUGAAUUACUUGAUUAGAAGAACACUUACUGAUCUGUUGGGAAAAGAAAGACAUGAUGGGAUGGACUUUUCUCAUAUUUUGUGGGUAUCUAGACGCUGCGUAGUUAUGCUCAGCAACAAUGAAAAACUGGAUUUUGCAUGACAAGGCCACUUAAAUGAAAAAAUAUCCCAUUUUUAUUACAAUUGAGUGCUCCUUAUGGACAUUUAAAGUCAUUUGGAGGUAUUUAUUUUUAUCACCAAAAAAGUGUUUACAUCACAACAAGAACAAAUGGC
ensembl:lncRNA